rnacentral:lncRNA from 10 species
GGUUCCUUGGCCGCCUGUGCUGGUGCUCUGCUGUAAGAACCCCCUCACUCACAUAUUCAGCUCUCAGGUUACACAAUCCAAGGAUUUUCAUUGCCAAACCCUGGAAAUCCAGCUCACCUUGGGACUGGGCUUCAGAGAGUCCCAUUCACAAAUAUUUAUUGAGCACUUACUCUGGGCUUAGCUCUGGGCUAGCUACUCCGGGAUCAAUCAUUGUUUAGGACCUACUAAGACAGGCAUUGAACACUCGUUUUUCCUGAUGCUUGCAACAUCCCUUCAAGGUGGGUGUUAUAAACCCAUUGUACAGGUGAGAAGAAACAGAGCUCUGGCAGAGAGAAAACCCCUUAAGGUGCUUCCAUCUCACUGGAAAGAGAAAAAUGACAUAUGUGAAGCAGUGACUAUGGUGAAACGUGGCAAAGCUACAAUUAUUCAAGAUGACAGCAGGAAGAAAGGAGCCAGCUCUGUGCCUGGAAUUUCAUAUUUAUUAUCAUAUUGAAUUCUCCUGCAACUCCAUGAGAAAAGAUAAAUAAUAUCCUCUUUUUACCAGCACCACUUAAUACAGUAUCACAUAAAUAUGUCACAUAAAUACAAAUU